rnacentral:rRNA from 1 species
UACGGGGGGGGGCAAGCGUUGUUCGGAAUUACUGGGCGUAAAGGGCUCGUAGGCGGCCAACUAAGUCAGACGUGAAAUCCCCCGGCUUAACCUGGGAACUGCGUCUGAUACUGGACGGCUUGAGUAUGGGAGAGGAACGUAGAAUUCCAGGUGUAGCGGUGAAAUGCGUAGAUAUCAGGAGGAACACCGAUGGCGAAGGCAGGUCUCUGGGCAUUAACUGACGCUGAGGAGCGAAAGCAUGGGGAGCGAACAGG